CAAAAUCGUAUAUGGUGUCAGGAACAUAGCAGGUAUUCUGCAAGAGAGGGCACCAUUGACUAGACAAGUGUCCACAGUGCUAGACGGAGGCGCACCUGGGAACAGUUUCCUGCUGGUCCACAAUUGGAUAAGUACAGAAAUUAAGAGCAUGGGAUUUUUGAAAUAUUUUUUAGCAAUUAGACGUUGUAACAUCCAAGCAUGUGAUCACUGGACUCAUCUCAUUGAAAAGGGUGAAGGCCAGGUUGGGUGUUACCAAAUACAAGUGGUACUGCUACAUACUAGCCACAUGCAAUAGGACCAUACAUGGGUCUUUGAUGCAUUGGAAAUGUAAAAAGCAAAUCAAAAUGGGACUGGCCCUUCACUGUAGAUGGUUUGAGGAGCACUGGACUAGGUCCCUAAAAGCUGGAAAGAAUCAAAGGCAGAGUGGCCUAUGUGAGAAUGGGCACAUUUAUCUUCCUGUUGGAGUAUUAAUUACAAUAGUGACAAUACCAGUAGCCACCACUCAGUGGGCCAGAGCUGAUGCCAGACAUGAAGCUCAGUCCUUAUCUGGUUGAAUCCUCGCAACCUCCUAUGGGGUGUAGAUCAUUCUCCAAUUUUAUCAGAUGGGGAAACUGAGGCUCAUGGAGAAACUCAGUAACAGGCCCAUGACCACACAGAUAGGUCUAUUUGAAUCCAAAGCCUGUGCCUCUAACCCACUCUUGAGCCUCCUGCUGAG
rnacentral:lncRNA from 1 species